UCAGCUCGUGUUGUGAAAUGUUGGGUUAAGUCCCGCAACGAGCGCAACCCUUAUCCUUUGUUGCCAGCGGUCCGGCCGGGAACUCAAAGGAGACUGCCAGUGAUAAACUGGAGGAAGGUGGGGAUGACGUCAAGUCAUCAUGGCCCUUACGACCAGGGCUACACACGUGCUACAAUGGCGCAUACAAAGAGAAGCGACCUCGCGAGAGCAAGCGGACCUCAUAAAGUGCGUCGUAGUCCGGAUUGGAGUCUGCAACUCGACUCCAUGAAGUCGGAAUCGCUAGUAAUCGUGGAUCAGAAUGCCACGGUGAAUACGUUCCCGGGCCUUGUACACACCGCCCGUCACACCAUGGGAGUGGGUUGCAAAAGAAGUAGGUAGCUUAACCUUCGGGAGGGCGCUUACCACUUUGUGAUUCAUGACUGGGGUGAAGUCGUAACAAGGUAACCGUAGGGGAACCUGCGGUUGGAUCACCUCCUUA
rnacentral:rRNA from 1 species